CACACACACAUACACACACUCCCCAGUUAUUAGAAAGCAUAAGGAGAGCUGAAUGCAGCAGUGCUGUGUGACAGAGACGAGGAGAGGAGGUGAGGCGAGGAGAAGCAAAGAGAGGAGAGUAGACGAGAGGGCGAGAAGAGGAGAGGCAAGGAGAGCCAACUGACAAAGACAGAGUGCCGCCGCCUGCUUUGUUUGUGAAGAGAGCGAGAGAGAGAGAGAGAGAGAGAGAAAUAUAGAAAGAACAAGAGACAGAAAGAGGAGACUGCAAGGAACAUUAACUAGUCAUUUGUCUCGCUGUCUGUCACAUAACAAGGCACGGAAGGAGCGAAGGUCAUUGAUACUGACGGUGAUCUGCGUCACUCACCUCUUUGAGGGACACCACUCCGAUGAGUCGUCCAAUGCUGGUGACGUAGGCAUGGUCCAACCCCAGCAG